AAAGGGAUACUUCUUCGGACAAUAUACAAGGUGCUGCAUGGUUGUCGUCAGCUCGUGCCGUGAGGUGUCGGGUUAACGUCCCAUAACGAGCGCAACCCCUUACCUUUAGUUGCCAUCAGGUAAUGCUGGGGACUCUAAAGGAACUGCCUACGCAAGUAGUGAGGAAGGCGGGGAUGACGUCAAAUCAGCACGGCCCUUACGUCCAGGGCUACACACGUGCUACAAUGGCCGAUACAGAGGGCAGCUACCUGGUGACAGGAUGCAAAUCUCCAAAGUCGGUCUCAGUUCGGAUCGGAGUCUGCAACCCGACUCCGUGAAGUUGGAUUCGCUAGUAAUCGCGCAUCAGCCAUGGCGCGGUGAAUACGUUCCCGGGCCUU
rnacentral:rRNA from 1 species